AUUCCCAGUGUUUUUCUCUUUUGUAAUCUUUAUAGGUGGCCAAAUUACAAUUCUAGACAAUGAGAUGUUUGUGGAAGUCUGCUGAGUUUGGGAGAUGUAGUAUCCUGAGAAAGCUUUCACUUUCCUGAAGAAAAAAAAGACCAUGGAUGGUGGAAGCCACCCCCUUUCCCCUCUUCUUGCCUUGAACAAAGGUGCGAAGGCUAAAACUGCUGCAGCCAUAUUGCAACCAUGAAGUCAAUGUCGAGAGAAUCACAGAAAUGAUGGCCCUGCUGUUCUUGAGCUAUUGAACCAACAAAGUUACUCCACAGGAUCCGCUGAACAUAGGAUGUUGCCACAAAAUCUACCUCGUGUAUUUUUCUCUUUCACUCAUGAGCUGCACAAUUGCAGAUUUGAGCACAAUGUCUGCAGACUGUGUUGAAAAACUCUGAAGAACCUAAUUAACACAGGAUGACCUAGGAGUGAUUCUAAGUCUGUGUAACAAGAUAUUACUCAUUAGUGAAUGUGUCAGUCUUGGUACUGAAUGCUGCAGAUAACAGCAAGUAGGUUCUCCUUUAUUUCUGAAGUAUUCACUUGACCUUCCAUCAGUAAGACGGACUUUUCUAAUCUGUUCCUGGAGAUAUUAAUGGAAUACAGUCAUGUCCACUCAAGACGAGAGGCAGAUCAAUACUGAAUAUGCUGUGUCAUUGUUGGAACAGUUGAAACUGUUUUAUGAACAGCAGUUGUU
rnacentral:lncRNA from 1 species